CGGGAUGUAGCGCAGCCUGGUAGCGUACUAGCAUGGGGUGCUAGGGGUCGCUGGUUCAAAUCCAGUCAUCCCGA
rnacentral:tRNA from 3 species